UACGUAGGGACCAAGCGUUGUCCGGAUUUAUUGGGCGUAAAGAGCGUGUAGGCGGCCAAGCAGGUCCGUUGUGAAAACUGGAGGCUUAACCUCCAGACGUCGACGGAAACCGCGUGGCUAGAGUCCGGAAGAGGAGAGUGGAAUUCCUGGUGUAGCGGUGAAAUGCGUAGAUAUCGUAAGGAAGACCAGUGGCGAAGGCGGGUCUCUGGACAGUUCCUGACGCUGAGGCACGAAGGUCAGGGGAGCAAACGGGG
rnacentral:rRNA from 1 species